rnacentral:rRNA from 1 species
UACGUAGGGUGCAGGCGUUAAUCGGAAUUACUGGGCGUAAAGCGUGCGCAGGCGGUUUCUUAAGUCAGAUGUGAAAGCCCCGGGCUUAACCUGGGAACUGCGUUUGAAACUGGGAGACUUGAGUGUGGCAGAGGGGGGUGGAAUUCCACGUGUAGCAGUGAAAUGCGUAGAUAUGUGGAGGAACACCGAUGGCGAAGGCAGCUCGCUGGGACGUGACUGACGCUGAGACGCGAAAGCGUGGGGAGCAAACAGG